rnacentral:lncRNA from 1 species
GGGCCCCAAUCCACCAUGGGAAGGAGAGCCAUGCCUUCUCCCGCCCCAGCCACCAUCGCUCAAGCACCAGGAGGCCUUGCAGCCCGAGCAUCUAUCAAGCUGAAGGAACUCCAGAGCUGAUGGCUCCCACUAACUGAGGUUACCCCUACCCACUCAGCAUGACCACUUGUAUCCCAAAUACAAAGGUAAGACAUUUAGAAGACCCAGAAUCAUAAAAUUGCCAUUCUUCACU